AUUGAACGCUGGCGGCAUGCCUUACACAUGCAAGUCGAACGGCAGCACGGGAGCAGUCCUGGUGGCGAGUGGCGAACGGGUGAGUAAAGUAUCGGAACGUGCCCAGUCGAGGGGGAUAACGUAGCGAAAGUUACGCUAAUACCGCAUACGAUCUAUGGAUGAAAGCGGGGGAUCGCAAGACCUCGCGCGAUUGGAGCGGCCGAUAUCAGAUUAGGUAGUUGGGGGGGUAAAGGCUCACCAAGCCGACGAUCUGUAGCUGGUCUGAGAGGACGACCAGCCACACUGAGACUGAGACACGGCCCAGACGCCUACGGGAGGCAGCAGUGGGGAAUUUUGGACAAUGGGCGAAAGCAUGAUCCAGCCAUGCCGCGUGGAGGAUGACGGCCUUCGGGUUGUGAACUGCUUUUGUACGGAACGAAAAGGUUUGGCCUAAUAAGCUUAGCUCAUGACGGUACCGUAAGAAUAAGCACCGGCUAACUACGUGCCAGCCGCCGCAGUAA
rnacentral:rRNA from 1 species